GAAGUUUCAAAUGAUCUAGUAUAAUAGAUGGUUUGCACUAGAUUAAUCUCAUAGUAAGAAAUAGUAUGUUAUUUUUCUCGCAUAAUUCUAAAUGCCACGAUGAUGAUCUUUUAUGUUCUAUGCACAUGCUAUUGUUGCUCUUUACAUACAAAUGAUAUUAGCAGAUUAGCCUAUUAUCAUGCAUCGUUGAUAUCGUUGGUGCAAUUUUGUCUUGCGCUGCUCCAUCGAUCGUAGGUCUAGAUCUGUCAUCGCACAUUGCCCAGCCAUGAGCCCCCCUGCUGCUGGCCAUCGAGCCCCUAUAGGUUGCCUCCUCCUUGUGGGUCCUUGACGGAAGGAAGCAAACAGGGCGCGGCGUGUGUAUAGUAUAGGUGGUGAAUCUUUUUCGGGGCUGUUCUGGCGGGCUGGCCCACCGAAGCGGCAUGGGGGAGCAACCCGGUCCACGCGCUCUUCACGUGGCCUCCACAGCGCCCGGCCCCGUCGUCGCACAGCCACAAGCUCCGCCGCAUCUUU
rnacentral:lncRNA from 7 species